UACAGAGGUCUCAAGCGUUGUUCGGAUUCAUUGGGCGUAAAGGGCUCGUAGGCGGCCAACUAAGUCAGACGUGAAAUCCCUCGGCUUAACCGGGGAACUGCGUCUGAUACUGGUUGGCUUGAAUCCGGGAGAGGGAUGUGGAAUUCCAGGUGUAGCGGUGAAAUGCGUAGAUAUCUGGAGGAACACCGGUGGCGAAGGCGGCAUCCUGGACCGGUAUUGACGCUGAGGAGCGAAAGCCAGGGGAGCAAACGGG
rnacentral:rRNA from 1 species